rnacentral:lncRNA from 1 species
AUGGGCGACUCCCCCGACUCCAGGUCAGGACCUGGAAUGGCACCUGGACCAGCACUUGGACCUGCACCUGGACCAGCACCUGGACCUGCACCUGGACCUGCACCUGAACCUGCACCUGGACCUGCACCUGGACCUGCACCUGGACCAGCUCCUGGACCUGCACCUGGACCUGGACCUGGAACUGCACCUGGACCUGCACCUGGACCUGCACCUGGACCAGCUCCUGGACCAGCUCCUGGACCUGCACCUGGACCUGGACCUGCACCUGGACCAGAAGAAGAAGGUUUAUUGCCAUUGUUCCUGGACCUGCACCUGGACCUGCACCUGGAACUGCACCUGGAGCUGCACCUGGAGCUGCACCUGGACCAGCUCCUGGACCUGCACCUGGACCAGCACCUGGACCUGCACCUGGACCAGCACCUGGAUCAGCACCUGGAUCAGCACCUGGACCUGGACCUGGAACUGCACCUGGACCAGCACCUGGACCUGCACCUGGACCAGCACCUGGAUCAGCACCUGGACCUGCACCUGGACCAGCACCUGGAUCAGCACCUGGACCUGCACCUGGACCAGCACCUGGAUCAGCACCUGGAUCAGCACCUGGACCAGCACCUGGACCUGCACCUGGACCAGCACCUGGAUCAGCACCUGGACCUGCACCUGGACCAGCACCUGGAUCAGCACCUGGACCUGCACCUGGACCAGCACCUGGACCUGCACCUGGAUCAGCACCUGGACCUGCACCUGGACCUGCACCUGGACCUGGACUGUUCGAUUUGUUUUACUUCCUGCUGUGUUCUGAACAACAUCCUUCUGCUGCCUGUGUGUGUGUGUUUCUGUGUGUGUGUGUGUGUGUGUGUGUGUGUGAUCAACCACUCGGCUGGUGUGACUCGCUGUCGUGGUAACGGGCUGCCUCCACCUGAGAGCCUAACAAAGGGAGCGUGCACCCUGGAGAGUGCACGUGUUUCUCGUGCGCUUCGCCACAUCUGCAGCAGCGCUGGUCGUCCUGUCUCGUGUCACCUGGACCAGGAGGACAUCAUGGCAGAGACAUGUGAGGGACACCAGCGUCACGUCGGCCACAAACAUCCAGACUGUGACUUCAGGAGAAGCAGGUUCUCUGUUGCUAGGCAACCACAGAUGAUGCCUUCCACCACGAGCGUGUCGCCUAAUGAGGAGCAGCUGCAGGCCGGCCGGUGA